rnacentral:lncRNA from 1 species
AGGUUCAUUCAAAGGCAAGGAAGUGGUAAGAGAAAAAGAAUAUGAUUACUUUGUUAUCCUAUAAAUUUUGGUAAGUAUUUAAUAGACUAAACUUUGUGUAUAUUGAGUAGGAACUGCUGUUUGAUUACUUGAUAAUUUUUUGGUUGACUGAGUUGAUAUUAGUUAUGUUUUUGGCUUGUUGUAAAGUGAAUUGAUUGUGAUGUGUUGUAAAGUGAAUUGAUUGUGAUGUGUUGUGAAGUGAAUUGAUUGCGAUUAAGGAUUGAUGACUCUUGAAUGGAUAUUGUGUGAUCGGGAAAGCUGAGGUGGGCGGAUAGCUACCCGAGUAUGUGAGAUUGCAAGACUGAGCCGGGCGGAUAGUCUUGUCAAGUGGUUACUGAAAUUUUAAAAUGUGAGAAAAUGUAAGGAUGAGUCAUCUGAUCCUAAUUUGAUAGAAAUAAUGUGGAAUUGAAUUAUUUGACUCGGUUGAGUUUGAGAUUAUUUGCAUUAUGUGAGAUGAAAUUAUUUAUUUAUGAGAAUAAUUGAAAUGGUUGAUUUUGUG